rnacentral:rRNA from 1 species
GAUGAACGCUGGCGGCGUGCCUAAUACAUGCAAGUCGAGCGAACGGACGAGAAUCUUGCUUCUCUGAUGUUAGCGGCGGACGUGUGAGUAACACGUGUAUAACCUACCUAUAAGACUGGUAUAACUUCGGGAAACCGGAUCUAAUACCGGAUAAUAUUUUGAACCGCAUGGUUCAAAAGUGAAAUUCGGUCUUGCUGUCACUUAUAGAUGGAUCCGCGCUGCAUUAUCUAGUUGGUAAGGUAACGGCUUACCAAGGCAACGAUGCAUAGCCGACCUGAGAGGGUGAUCGGCGACACUGGAACUGAGACACGGUCAAGACUCCUACGGGAGGCAGCAGUAGGGAACCUUACGCAAUGGGCGAAAGCAUGACGGAGCAACGCCGCGUGAGUGAUGAAGGUCUUCGGAUCGUAAAAAUCUGUUAUUAGGGAAGAACAUAUGUGUAAGUAACUGUGCACAUAUUGACGGUACCUAAUAAGAAAGCAACGGCUAACUACGUG